rnacentral:misc_RNA from 1 species
GAUGAAGAACGCAGCGAAAUGCGAUACGUAAUGUGAAUUGCAGAAUUCAGUGAAUCAUCGAAUCUUUGAACGCACCUUGCACCCUUUGGCAUUCCGAAGGGUAUGCUCGUUUGAGUGUCAUUGUACUCUCACACUUCCGAUCUUUGGAUUGGGAGCGGUGGACUUGGGUGUUGCUGCUUACUGUGGCUCACCUCAAAUCGAUUCGUGCACCUCUUGGUUGGACAUAGUACGGCGUGAUAAGUGUCUUCGCCGGCACCUCAGUAGAGGGUGGCUGAUCGGGAGCUCUGCUUCAAACCGUCCUCGGACAACAACUGACAACUUGACCUCAAAUCGAGUAGGACUACCCGCUGAACUUAAGCAUAUCAAUAAGCGGAGGA